GACAUCGAUAUUCGACGUCAUAAACACGAUCAACUUUGGUGUUUAUCACGUUGAUAUUCGACGUCAUAAACACGAUCAACUUUGGUGUUUAUGACGUUGAUAUUCGACGUCAUAAACACGAUCAAAUUUGGAAUUUAUGACGUCGAUAUUCGGCGUCAUAAACACGAUCAACUUUGGUGUUAAUGACGUCGAUAUUCGACGUCAUAAACACGAUCAACUUUGGUGUUUAUGACGUCGAUAUUCGACGUC
rnacentral:miRNA from 1 species